rnacentral:rRNA from 1 species
GAUGAACGCUGGCGGCGUGCUUAACACAUGCAAGUCGAACGGUGAAGCAGAGCUUGCUCUGUGGAUCAGUGGCGAACGGGUGAGUAACACGUGAGCAACCUGCCCCUGACUCUGGGAUAAGCGCUGGAAACGGCGUCUAAUACUGGAUAUGAGCUGCGACCGCAUGGUCAGCAGUUGGAAAGAUUUUUCGGUCUGGGAUGGGCUCACGGCCUAUCAGCUUGUUGGUGAGGUAAUGGCUCACCAAGGCGUCGACGGGUAGCCGGCCUGAGAGGGUGACCGGCCACACUGGGACUGAGACACGGCCCAGACUCCUACGGGCGGCAGCAGUGGGGAAUAUUGCACAAUGGGCGAAAGCCUGAUGCAGCAACGCCGCGUGAGGGAUGACGGCCUUCGGGUUGUAAACCUCUUUUAGCAGGGAAGAAGCGAAAGUGACGGUACCUGCAGAAAAAGCGCCGGCUAACUACGUG